rnacentral:tRNA from 1 species
GCGACCGUGGCGGAACUGGCAGACGUGCAUGCUUGAGGUGCAUGUGGUUAACACCGUGCGAGUUCGAGUCUCGCCGGUCGCACCA